AGGGAAACCGAGUCUUAACCGGGCGUUAAGUUGCAGGGUAUAGACCCGAAACCCGGUGAUCUAGCCAUGGGCAGGUUGAAGGUUGGGUAACACUAACUGGAGGACCGAACCGACUAAUGUUGAAAAAUUAGCGGAUGACCUGUGGCUGGGGGUGAAAGGCCAAUCAAACCGGGAGAUAGCUGGUUCUCCCCGAAAGCUAUUUAGGUAGCGCCUCGUGAACUCAUCUCCGGGGGUAGAGCACUGUUUCGGCUAGGGGGCCAUCCCGGCUUACCAACCCGAUGCAAACUGCGAAUACCGGAGAAUGUUAUCACGGGAGACACACGGCGGGUGCUAACGUCCGUCGUGAAGAGGGAAACAACCCAGACCGCCAGCUAAGGUCCCAAAGUCAUGGUUAAGUGGGAAACGAUGUGGGAAGGCCCAGACAGCCAGGAUGUUGGCUUAGAAGCAGCCAUCAUUUAAAGAAAGCGUAAUAGCUCACUGGUCGAGUCGGCCUGCGCGGAAGAUGUAACGGGGCUAAACCAUGCACCGAAGCUGCGGCAGCGACACUAUGUGUUGUUGGGUAGGGGAGCGUUCUGUAAGCCUGUGAAGGUGUGUCGUGAGGCAUGCUGGAGGUAUCAGAAGUGCGAAUGCUGACAUAAGUAACGAUAAAGCGGGUGAAAAGCCCGCUCGCCGGAAGACCAAGGGUUCCUGUCCAACGUUAAUCGGGGCAGGGUGAGUCGACCCCUAAGGCGAGGCCGAAAGGCGUAGUCGAUGGGAAACAGGUUAAUAUUCCUGUACUUGGUGUUACUGCGAAGGGGGGACGGAGAAGGCUAUGUUGGCCGGGCGACGGUUGUCCCGGUUUAAGCGUGUAGGUGUGUGUUCCAGGUAAAUCCGGUUCACUUUAACACUGAGGCGUGAUGACGAGGCACUACGGUGCUGAAGCAACAAAUGCCCUGCUUCCAGGAAAAGCCUCUAAGCAUCAGGUAACAUCAAAUCGUACCCCAAACCGACACAGGUGGUCAGGUAGAGAAUACCAAGGCGCUUGAGAGAACUCGGGUGAAGGAACUAGGCAAAAUGGUGCCGUAACUUCGGGAGAAGGCACGCUGACA
rnacentral:rRNA from 1 species